AAUAUCCUUCAUAAAGUUCUUAUUGGUUUUAAUAAAAACCUAUAAGUCCGUUGUUUGCUGGAGCGGCUUCGCGGAGAACACAAAGGAUUCUCAGUAAUGAAUCCUGUACUGACACUUCUAGAAGUUUACACACAUGAGGUGUUCUUUAUGGGGUUCUUAGUGGAGUCAUCCCCUGCCGUGGAAUUGAACCCUGCACCCUUGUAAUGGAUUUAGAGGGCUCGAUGGAAGAGAGAGAGGAGAAGUGUUCUUUAUGGGGUUCUUAGUGGAGUCAUCCCCUGCCGUGGAAUUGAACCCUGCACCCUUGUAAUGGAUUUAGAGGGGUUGAUGGAAG